ACCAUAAUUCCUCAGCAGGCCCACCUGGGUUUGGCACCUGCAAGAGACUUCCCUUCAGGAGCUAUGACCAGUAGGUGUUGAUAUUGACCUAUGAAACCCUACCUGAAAGAUCACCUUUCUCCUCAUGCAAUAUUGCCACAACUGCAGUCAACGCAGUCAGUCAAGUAUGAACACUAUCAGUAUAAAAGAGAAGGAAUGGCAGCGUCUGUCAGAGGACCUCAGCUUCGGAACAUACUCAGUCCAAAAUUACCCAGAAGUCUGAUCUUCAGGAAAUGUUGUAAGCUCCAUCUAAUUACCCAUGCUUUUGGGAGGUUAUGAAAAGAAUACAAGAUUUGCUUCACUCCAAACAAUGUCCAGAGGGAGGUUGUUCAAGAGUGCAGUGAGGCAGAGGACCGAGUGUACUGCUUUCACAGCGCUCUGGGCCUUUGUCAAAUUUGGGAGUGUCAUUCUGUCCUCACAUCUUCUAUGAAGAGUAUUAAAUUGACACAAGAAAUUGAGCUCUCUGGAGAUGAAUCAUUGUUGUGCUCUGUGAUUAUGGUACUGUACAUCAUCAGUCUGUCAAGAUAAAGACUGGAAUCAUUUAAACGCUGAUCAGAAAUUGACACUGAUAUAGCAUCUACGCAGGACAAUCUACCAUUUAUGAUCAGCUGGUGUCUUGUACUCUUCUACAUCAAUCUUUUGCUUAUUUUAGCUUGUAACAAUCCAGUGUGCACCAUUUAUAUCAUUGCCCAAACCAGUGCUGGGAAUACACAGGUGGCAGUUCCUGACAUCAGAAGCAUUAGAGGCAGCAUUUGAUGAUGGAUUCAGUGCAAGCAGGAUGUGUUAAGAGAGUUUUUACACAGAGUAAAACAGCAAAGCUGCUGCAUCCCAGAAUUGCUUGCAGGAAAUAUACACUAGAGAACUGAACUGAUGGAACAGCACUUGUAUAAGCAUCAGUGGUGCUGUUUCCAUGUUAGGCAUAUUCUGUCACGUACAGGUCUAUUGCAGCUUUGUCCUGCGUCCAUACUAAUGUUGUACUAUACCAUUUGCAGUCACUAUGCUCUAGAAACUCGUUCCAGCUCAUUGAAGCAGUGGCUUCUGGGAGACUUGAAAAAGCCUUUUGGGAUAUCUAGGGAAGCCCUGUUGAAUUGUGGACAAAGAGGUCAAGCUACCAUAAUCCACUGGGUAACUCCUGUUAAGUCCUCUGGUGACAGCACCAGUUUAUAUUUAUCUUCUCAAAAUGGAUGCCAAGAUGAACACUCAGAAAUCUCUCCUGGCUAAGCAAGACCAUCUGAGGUGACAACAGAAAAGAAAUAGAGGUGAUCCAGAAGUGCCUUCAGAGAACCAGAGAUUAAAACAAUGAGCUCACAGAACUCAUCAUACAAUGGUUGGACACCCUCUGCCACUAUUUGAGUGGUUGGCUGCAUGCUGUACUUCACUGGGUGGAGCACAGCUUUUGUGUCCAGGCCAUGACCGCAGACUGACAGAACUAAGUUGUUCUCAAGACCUGAGAUGAGCAGUAGUGGCGACAGAACUUCAGAAUGAGCAAAGAAUGUUUUCCAUAUCCCUGUGAGGAGCUAGUCCCAGCAUUGCAAAACCAAGAUGAAAACUCUAUUUAGCAAGGGAAAGAGGGUGGUGAUUGCUUUCUGGAAGCUUCCUACUUCAGAUUGUUUCUGGUCUCUUGGACACCAGUUUAUGCUUGGGAAAUCCACAGUGGGUGGUGGUGUGGUGUUUUGCAGGAUAAUACACUGGUGGCUUAUAUGGCAAUGAUCAUGUGAUAGAUGUAAACGUAGUUUUCCCAGACUCUGCAGCAGCCACUGCCAGAACCCGUGUGUCCCACUAAUCCAUGGUGAUGUAGGCAUUGCUGGACCAUCAUGUCAGGGACAUGGACAUGGGCAUAACAUGGCCAAGCAAAAUGCACAAUGCUGCAGCUUUCCAAAAGUUCUGGAAAAGGGUGAACUCUCUUCUCCCUGAACAAUAUUGACUUUGAUUUCUGUUUCCAUUGUACUUCUGGGUGACUCUGCAUACUCACAUUUGCAAUGGCUAAUGCAAUAUUUUCCAAAUUACAUAAAUCUGGAGACACACCGAUUCAAUUACACCAAAUAUUUUUGUUAUGAUGAAAAAUAGUACAAACUUAAUAACUCUAAAACAAAUUGACUAAACAGCAAAUGACUCAUCAUUUUAACCAAUAAUUUAAAUCUGAGCUCACACUAUUCUCUGAAAAUGAAUGGGAUACCUGACUGAAGUGAAUGUCAUUUUUUGGAACAGCAAUCAUCAGAACACAAUAAGUAAUAGGACACAGCGUAAAAGAAAUAAAGAGACUCAACCAGCUUGUGAAUGUAGUGAAUUGAAUAAAGUGAUAGCUGCAAUGCAGUUUAUAUACAAACACUUAAGGACAAUUUUUAUAAAAAUGUAACUUUAUUAUUCUUCUGGAAUUGAUCCAUGCAAUUACAAAUAACACCAAAAACAAAAAAUGAUUGAGAUUCAAAAUUAUAUGUGCAAAUUUUCUGCUGCACAGUUUUGAUCAACUAACUUUUACUGUAAGCACAUAAGUGGCACAGUUUGCUUGGUUUUGAGUCAAAACCCGGAAAGUCCAGAUUUGCUUGAAACUCAGCCCGGGUUUACUUAUUGAGGCUUUUGGAAAACCUGACCAGAGUACUUGGUUCAUAAUGAAACCCUCAGAGCUGAUGAUUUUUGCCCUACAAAAGUUUAGAGAGUUCUGAUUGGUCCCCUCCUUUCAUCUGCAUAUGUACCAUUCACAAGACUUGCUUCAUAAUAUUGCACAUUGGGAAGCUUUUAGUCUCUUGCACCACACUGUGCAAUCUUGCCAGCUAUCUGCAUUGUUUACUCAUGCUGUUGCACCAUAUAGAUGGUAGAUGAUUGAUGGAUUUUCUUUUUCUUUUCAGCAGUGCUGCAGUCACAG